rnacentral:tRNA from 1 species
AACAAAGAAGUAAAUUUUACAUUUAGUUUCGACCUAAAUAUAAAGGAUAUAACCUUCAUGUUU